UACAGAGGUCUCAAGCGUUGUUCGGAUUCAUUGGGCGUAAAGGGUGCGUAGGCGGCGCGGUAAGUCGGGUGUGAAAUCUCGGAGCUUAACUCCGAAACUGCAUUCGAUACUGCCGUGCUUGAGGACUGGAGAGGAGACUGGAAUUCCCGGUGUAGCAGUGAAAUGCGUAGAGAUCGGGAGGAACAUCAGUUGCGAAGGCGGCUCUCUGGACCAGCACUGACACUGAGGCACGAAAGCGUGGGGAGCAAACAGG
rnacentral:rRNA from 1 species